rnacentral:misc_RNA from 1 species
GAAAUGCGAUACGUGAUGCGAAUUGCAGAAUUCCGUGAAUCAUUGAAUUUUUGAACGCACCUGGCGCUCUUGUCCUUGUGUCAAGAGCAGGUUUGUUUGAGAAUCUUUUUUUGAAUUUGUGUCAAUUUGUGAAUGGACGAGCAUGAUUGUCCUUGUUUUGAUAAAAUGAGGUCAAUUGAAUAUGUUUUUGUUUUUUGUGCUGUGUAAUGAUAUAUGAUAUAAGGGGGUUUCUAAUAGGAACAAUACUUGUUUCAGUAAGAAAUUUUCCAUUCAUUAUGCAUGUGCACCUAACCCUAAAGAAAACCCAACUCACAACCUAAAAAUGAGAUCUCAAAUGAAUCAGAAGACCCGCUGAACUUAA